rfam:Brassica oleracea var. oleracea cultivar TO1000 chromosome C8, whole genome shotgun sequence
UUUACAUAUAAUCAAAACUUAUGUAAAUUGGAACGAUACAAAGAAGAUUAGCAUGAUAUCUUCGCAACGAUGACAUGCACAAAUCGAAAAAUGAUCUAAACAAAG